AAGCUUCUUCCUGAUUGUAUUGCAAAAUGAUCCGAAGCAUCAAAGCAUCGAAGACAACACAGUGACAUCUAGUGGUCAGGCAGCAGAAAUGACAGCGGCUAUGAACUCGACACAGCCAAAUGAAGCUUUCAACACGAACGUAGGAGAGACAGAAUGGACACAUGCAUAUGGCACGACAUGACUGAACUUGAAUUAACCCUUGUGUUUUCUUCCCGUCAACCUUGAAAGAAACACUUUUUCCCGACGUUUUUGAUGCCUUUUUUUCACGGUUUGUUUAAGCUUUUUCCAACGUUUUAAAUUGUUAAAUUUUUCUUCUACACAUUUUCAGCGCUUAUUUCUAUGCCCCAUAUUUUCUGAUAUAAACCAAAAAUUGAAAACUGUUCAAUGUGACCCGGAGUCAACACAAGGGUUAAAUGACAUGAACAUGACAUGACGGAAUUAAAAAUAUAAAACCUAUGUUUGAAUGUUUGGAUAUAACAUUAUAAUAUAUAAACUAUAUAUAAACUACUGUGAUCAGGAUUUGAAUGUAAGUAGGCCUAUGUUUAAUUAGGCUAAAUAUGGAUUCAAUAAACUGCAGCAACAAUGCCACGUUCUACCGCUAUGUAGAAUUACGUACAGGUGUAUGUAAGUAUAGGCUAAUUUCUAUUAAUAGGCUAAUCAAAUAAAUUGCAAGCCACACUCAUAAACCCGCGAUGUUCCAGUGAAUUCUAACGGGCAAUUGGUACGCACGCAGCGACAUGAAUCCAGCAAACCCAUCCGGAGUCUCAGUGACGUUCGAAGCUUCGGACGUCAUCAGUCACGUGCUUAUUUCAAUUCGAUACAAGCUCCAACACUGGGUUUCGAACCAGUGUGCUUUGCGGGAGUGAUACAAGCUUCGGUGCCUCGGUGUCAAACGUCCCAUCACUACCUCCAACUGACAGUGAGGUGACGUGAGCAACGUGUCUGAAAGUUCGUCAAAAUGGCGCCAUAGGAGGUUCGAGUUCUGAAGCGAAGCUUACCCCCUUGUAGGGGAGAGUGGGGUAAGAUGAGCCAGUGGGUCGAGGUUGGUUCAAGAACUUUAUGGCACGCCACCAUCUCUCCUGUCGUAUGCCUGAAGCAACAUCUUUGGGAAGAGCUACAGCCUUCAACAAAUACAGUCGGGGAGUUCUUUGACAAUCUGACCAAAGUGAUGGACAGGUUUAAAUUCCCUCCAAACAUCCCCUCCCCUGGAUAUGUCUCCCACUGAAAUUAUACCCUUAUCCAAAAGUCAGCAGCCUAGGGCACAGACAAAGAGAAAGUGGGUGAAGACAAGGAUACUGACUGAUACACCUGAAAAGCAGGCAAAAGAAAUGGAACAUGAAAAGAAAGAAAAAACAAACUGAAGGGGAAACAAGUAACCAACAUCAAAGAAUAACGAAAGUCCAAGAAGAAACAAACCCAGGAAGAAGUUACAGUGUCCAGCAGCUCUGAGGAGAGUGAUGAUCCCAUCCCACUUGAUGACACUUCUGAUGCUACGUUUAUACAUGGCCGGCUAUUUUCAUAAACGGACAUUUCAACCUC